UGGGGAAUCUUGCACAAUGGGGGCAACCCUGAUGCAGCGACGCCGCGUGAGCGAUGAAGCCCUUCGGGGCGUAAAGCUCUUUCGACCGGAACGAUAAUGACGGUACCGGGAGAAUAAGCACCGGCUAACUACGUGCCAGCAGCCGCGGUAAUACGUAGGGUGCAAGCGUUAGUCGGAAUUACUGGGCGUAAAGCGUGCGCAGGCGGUUUUGUAAGACAGAGGUGAAAUCCCCGGGCUCAACCUGGGAACUGCCUUUGUGACUGCAAAGCUGGAUUGCGGCAGAGGGGGAUGGAAUUCCGCGUGUAGCAGUGAAAUGCGUAGAUAUGCGGAGGAACACCGAUGGCGAAGGCAAUCCCCUGGGCCUGCACUGACGCUCAUGCACGAAAGCGUGGGGAGCAAACA
rnacentral:rRNA from 1 species